CUUAAGUUGUCUUUCAGGGAAAACCUCCAGAAUCCUCUCAAGGACUACUUGAUACCAGCGUUUUAAGAAUAUACCCAUGCAGAAGAGACCACAUCAUCUGCCUUCUACACUAUCCUUUCAUUUUGGAAAUACCUGUGGCUGCAAAGAGAGACCCUCAGAAAGGACUCAGUUCCUAAGGCACUCGACUUCCAAAAGUAAAAGAACUGAGGACCAGAAACUGGAUUUGAAGACACCAUAUGAAGGGUUUUCUUGCAGUUAUCCGUGGAUGGACUUGGUCCUCUAGAAAGAUGGUGCUAUGGAGGCAGGAAGAUAAUGCAGCUAAAAUAUGUGGGAAAGGAAGCGUGACAAGAUUCCAGAACACAUGCACGGAGCAGUUCUCAGAACCCUGCUUGUGGACUUCUUACAAGAACUGAAGCAGGAUUUUGGUAGGAUGACCUGGAUGUAAGUGAGCCCAGUGCGGGAACUAUAAAGAAGUCCACCACACCACAGCCUACCGCACUGUCUGGUAUAUUUUUAUUUUUUCCUCCUUUUUUACUUGGCUCAAAUUCAUUCUGCAGAGCCCAUUUUCCCCUAUCUUUCUGUUUUUUUCUUUACCUUUAAUAAAUGUGAAACUUUGCCAUGGUU
rnacentral:lncRNA from 1 species